rnacentral:siRNA from 1 species
UGCAUCUUGUUACCUGUUGCUUA